AUUGAACGCUGGCGGCAUGCCUUACACAUGCAAGUCGAACGGCAGCACGGGGGCAACCCUGGUGGCGAGUGGCGAACGGGUGAGUAAUACAUCGGAACGUGCCCAGUCGUGGGGGAUAACGUAGCGAAAGUUACGCUAAUACCGCAUACGAUCUCUGGAUGAAAGCGGGGGACCGCAAGGCCUCGCGCGAUUGGAGCGGCCGAUGGCAGAUUAGGUAGUUGGUGGGGUAAAAGCUUACCAAGCCUCCGAUCUGUAGCUGGUCUGAGAGGACAAUCAGCCACACUGGGACUGAGACACGGCCCAGGCUCCUACGGGAGGCAGCAGUGGGGAAUUUGGGACAAUGGGCGCAAGCCUGAUCCAGCAAUGCCGCGUGCAGGACGAAGGCCUUCGGGUUGUAAACUGCUUUUGUACGGAGCGAAACGGCUUCCACUAAUACUGGGGGCUAAUGACGGUACCGUAAGAAUAAGCACCGGCUAACUACGUGCCAGCAGCCGCCGUAA
rnacentral:rRNA from 1 species